rnacentral:lncRNA from 1 species
AAAGGCAACAAGAUUUGAUCCUGUAACACUACCUAAUACAGACAGUUUGGAUUUCAAAGAAACAUCCCCCUGAAAUAGGGUGGAGGGAAAAAGGAGAAAAAGGAGUGGGAUUUCACAUCUUUUCUGAGGAUAUAAAGCAGAAGCCAUUACUAAGCAAGCUACCCUAGCAGAAGCCUGUCACCAACCUUUGGAGCUAUCAUAUUCUCAGUAAAUGCUACUGUUUGAUACUUGAGCUACAGAGGCAGCACACAGUUUAAUCACCGUGAGAACCAUCUGCAAAACACUGGGAAGUAGUGUAGUUUCAAAGUAACUUCACCAGUGUUAGACUGAAGAAAUAUUUUUUAAAGUACCUUACUGAAGACCAUAAUCUAGAGAAAGAUCUUAAAACAUGAAGAGACAGUGUAUUUAAAUGGUCACAUAAUAAAUCUCCUAGAAGUCAGUACA